UCUCCCAAGCCCAUACCCCGCGUGACGUUGGGAUAUUUUUCAUGAAUUUUUGCAUAAAAGGAGUCGCCACUAGCCUAUUGGGAUCGGCUAGAAACCAAGUGAGGCAUGGGAGCGUGCCUCACUUCCUACGCAACCAGAGAAUUUAGGUUCGGGGACUUGAUUACACUAAUUAACCAAUUAGUGCCCUUUCGGUACCUAAUCUUCAUUUUAACAAAAUGAAUUUUUGGCAGGCGAUUUGGAUUGAUUUUAUAUUUAUCCACUAACAUGUGAGGUGAUCAUGCAGGCGCGCAAUCAUUAAAGUAAUAAUCAUAACUACCAAGAUCCUAAUUGCAAUAAGACUAAACACGUGCAAUCAAACAUAAUAAAAUAUGCAAAUUAAACAUGCUACAUAAUAAUAAACGAGCAAAUAAAUGCCUAAUUACGCUAAAAAGGCAGUACAUAACAAUUCCUAGCCAAAUCCUACAUUUUUUGGAUUUU
rnacentral:lncRNA from 1 species